rnacentral:RNase_P_RNA from 1 species
GGAGUCGGCCGGGCAGUCGCGUCAUCCCUUGCGGAUGCCGAGGAAAGUCCGGGCUCCACAGGGCACGGUGCCAGGUAACCCCUGGGCGGCGCGAGCCGACGGAAAGUGCAACAGAAAGAUACCGCCGAACGCUCCGGCAACUCCGCAAGGAGCGGCAGGAGGCGUGGCAAGGGUGAAAUGGUGCGGUAAGAGCGCACCGCGAGCCUGGCAACAGGCCGGUACGGCAAACCCCACCGGGAGCAAGACCAAAUAGGGAGACGAUGCCGUGGCCCGCGGUGUCUCCGGGUAGGUCGCUCGAGCGUAUCGGUGACGAUGCGCCUAGAGGAAUGACUGUCCACGACAGAACCCGGCUUACAGGCCGGCUCCGCCA